rnacentral:rRNA from 1 species
AUUGAACGCUGGCGGCAGGCCUAACACAUGCAAGUCGAGCGGAUGAGGAAAGCUUGCUUUUCGAUUCAGCGGCGGACGGGUGAGUAAUGCCUAGGAAUCUGCCUGUUAGUGGGGGAUAACUCGGGGAAACUCGGGCUAAUACCGCAUACGUCCUACGGGAGAAAGUGGGGGAUCUUCGGACCUCACGCUAACAGAUGAGCAUAGGUCGGAUUAGCUAGUAGGUGAGGUAAUGGCUCACCUAGGCGACGAUCCGUAACUGGUCUGAGAGGAUGAUCAGUCACGCUGGAACUGAGACACGGUCCAGACUCCUACGGGAGGCAGCAGUGGGGAAUAUUGGACAAUGGGCGAAAGCCUGAUCCAGCCAUGCCGCGUGUGUGAAGAAGGUCUUCGGAUUGUAAAGCACUUUAAGUUGGGAGGAAGGGUAUUCACCUAAUACGUGGGUACUUUGACGUUACCAACAGAAUAAGCACCGGCUAACUCUGUGCCAGCCGCCGCUGUAACAC